rnacentral:lncRNA from 1 species
AUGGAACAUCGCCCCCCCCCCCCCCCCCCCCCCCCCCCCGCCCCCGCCAGCUGGGCGACUAUGGCCGCGCGCAUCAUACUUAAUAUUCAAUUACCUAAAACGCGUCAAAACAACAGCUGUCCGUUCACUUCGAAGUCGGAAGCCUCCUCCGCCGCAGCAGCAGCAGCAGCUCGGGCGCCCGGGCGCGAUUCCGCCGCGAUCCCCGAACUUUACGAGCAGUUCCCUCGGUCCGGCAUGGACGCGCGUCGUCUAUCGUAUGCAAAUACGUCUGCUGACGUAGAUGAUCAUGUGGGUUUUGGCGUAGAUCCCCCUGCGAUCGCCAAUUUUUCUCGGCUGUUGUCUUUGGGAUCCGGUAGAAUCUUUACAAUUAAUCCCCGCGCCGCGGCCGGACGCGAGAUCGGGACGAUUUUCGGUUUGUUUUCGGGGGGACGCAGCAUCCCGGCGCGCGCACGCGGCGGCCAGGUGGUUUGCAAGGCUUGCCACAAAGUGCUACUGGACCUGAGCAUUGCAAAGGCUGUAGGGUUGUCUCAGUACGUCUCUACAUGAGCUCAACAAGCCUGGUGUCACCUCCAACCUGGGGGUGGCCAACUUUAGAAGGUGGGUCACCAGACUAAUUUAUCUUUUAGAACCAAAAAUGACAGAAGCUAUUGGGUUUUUAACAGGCCUGAGUUCCUUCCAUACAUGGUUUAGAAGGCCUUUGCGGGAAUUGGCUGAGUAAUGAGAGAGUCUGUGGGUGUCGGUCUAGUUCUUCUGGGAGUGUAGGAGAAGACAGGGGCUUAUGUGAGUGUGGGAUUCGUGUGAUUCACCAGCACAGAUACUGAUGACUGUCUCACGGGCAGACGUAAAUGGCAAUGGCUGUCCAGUCUAAUGAGUGAUCAAGAUGGUUAGUGGGCAGGCUUGGCAGAGUUAGGCUAGUUGAGUAUUUCUUGUGGUAUUUCAGAAGGCCAGCGUGAUUGUGCAUCAACCAAUUGUUUCCAACCCCUUAACUUUCAAAUGCUCUCAAUGUGUGCUGUUAUUUUUUUUUUAAUAGCUUCAUUGGUUUUAAUCUCAGAGAAUAUUCUGCUGAUGUUGGUUGGAUGUGAUGUGAAAUGUGUGUUAAUGCUGUUUCUUGGCCCCUUUACCUAGGUUCACUGUAGGAGUGGGAUUAGGUCCGGCUGGAGUAUCAUGAGGCAGGAUGUCUCAGUUAGCUAGGAUAAGCUUGACUCUCUCAUUUAGGUUAAGAGCAUUCAUAUUAGGUAAUGUAGCUCAAGUUAAUUCCCAAAUUGGGAUCUGGCCUUCUCAAAUUUCUUGUGUAGUCUACGAAACUAUAAUGGAAAUACCUGGCAGGCUCGUUGUGGGAUAAUGAUUGUACCAGCUAUACAGGUUCACACUACCAUCAAUAAUUCUGUCAUUAGCCAUUUAGCACGUAGCAGGUCCGGACUCCCCACAGCCCAGGCUGAGAUGGCUGUGACUUAAGCAUUUUGAAGCUGCUGUGAUUUUUGCAAUAUUCUGUAUGGAAUAACUAAGUGUAGUUCACAAGACUGGCAUAACGUCUCUUCAGUUUACG